UCACAAUGGGGUAUCUUCUAAAGUGAGGC
rnacentral:piRNA from 1 species